rnacentral:rRNA from 1 species
AGCGGGGCCCAUCCCGUAAGGCUAAAUACUCCCGAGAGACCGAUAGCGAACCAGUACUGUGAAGGAAAGGUGAAAAGAACCUCGAACAGAGGAGUGAAACAGACCCUGAAACCAUGCGCCUACAAGCGGUCGGAGCAUGUUAAAGUGUGACGGCGUGCCUUUUGCAUAAUGAACCUACGAGUUACUCUCGCUGGCAAGGUUAAGCGAUUCAGUCGCGCAGCCGAAGCGAAAGCAAGUCCGAACAAGGCGUACAGUCAGCGGGAGUAGACGCGAAACCAAGUGAUCUACCCUUGGUCAGGUUGAAGGUUGGGUAACACCAACUGGAGGACCGCACCGAUAAGCGUUGAAAAGCUUACGGAUGAACUGAGGGUAGGAGUGAAAGGCCAAUCAAACUUGGAGAUAGCUCGUACUCCCCGAAAUGCAUUUAGGUGCAGCCUCGAAGCAAAGUGAUAGAGGUAGAGCGACUGAUAAGAUGCGAGGGCUUCACCGCCUAUCAAGUCUUGACAAACUCCGAAUACUAUCACUUGAUCUUCGGGAGUGAGGGCAUGGGUGCUAAGGUCCAUGUCCGAAAGAGGAACAACUCAGACCACCAGCUAAGGUCCCGAAAUAAGGGCUAAGUUGAACAAACGAAGUAAAACUGCAAAGACAGCUAGGAUGUUGGCUUGGAAGCAGCCAUUCAUUUAAAGAGUGCGUAACAGCUCACUAGUCGAGGAGUUUUGCAUGGAUAAUAAUCGGGCAUAAGCCCUUUACCGAAGCUGUGGAUGUCGCAAGACAUGGUAGGGGAGCAUUCCGGCGGCGACGAAGGCCGUCCUCGAGGACGACUGGAGCUUCCGGAAAAGCAAAUGUAGGUAUAAGUAACGAUAAAGGGGGCGCGAAACCCCCUCGCCAUAAGACUAAGGAUUCCUGAUCAACGCUAAUCGGAUCAGGGUAAGUCGGGCCCUAAGGCGCAGCCGAACGGCGCAGCCGAUGGAAGAAACGGUAAAGAUUCCGUUACUGGAUAUAGGAGCGAUGUGGAGACGGAGAAGUGACACACCCGCCUGCCGACGGAAGCGCAGGUUAAAGGAAGUAGGUAAACGCCGGGCAGGCAAAUCCGCCCAGCGUGCCGAAGCUGACAGUAUCGAGAGCCCCCGGGCAAUCGAAUAGCGGUGGUAACCAGGCUCCCAAGAAAAUCCGCUAAGCAUAUUCUAUAUCCACCCGUACCCCAAACGGACACACGUAGUCGGGUAGAAUAUACCAAGGCGCUCGAAAGACUCACGGUUAAGGAACUAGGCAAAUUGACCCUGUAACCUCGGGAAAAAGGGUCCCCAGUAAGAUGGGGCGCAGAGAAUAGGUCCAGGCAACUGUUUAACAAAAACACAGGGCUGUGCAAAAUUUGAAGAUGAAGUAUACAGCCUGACACCUGCCCGGUGCCGGAAGGUUAAGAGGAGAGCUAAUCGCAAGAGAAGGCUUGAAUUGAAGCCCCGGUAAACGGCGGCCGUAACUAUAACGGUCCUAAGGUAGCGAAAUUCCUUGUCGG